GCUAACGGGUGACAAGGGAUUGUAUGAAGGGGAUUACUGUGAGCAGAGCCAAGAUCUACAUACAUCUGGCCCACCCUCACCUAUCACCCACAUCACCUUCUACCCUUGAAGGUAAUUAUCCUCAUGAGGCUACUGGAUAUCCCUUUUGAUCCAUGGCUUUUAAUUGUGUCAUCAUCAUCAUAAUUAUGAACUAUACAAGGGCUUAUUGCCCCAAAGCUGGCCUUUAGGCAGGUAAAAGAUGGAGAUCACCUGCCAAGGAAGACGGACAGGCUGACUUUCACAGGAGGAAGUGGGGGGAUGGUUGUCCACUGAUGUCUGAGCUACAGCAUCAUGAGAACAUCUCCCUGGCACGAAGAAAACACCCUAACAGUGGAGCCCAGUGGCAUCAUUUGCCAUAAUGAGACUUGGCACACGUUUUUCCAUUAAGAGACCCUUCAUCCAAACUUGCCGGCUAUCCCUACAUCCUCUCAUUCCAUUUCAGCCCACUCUGAUCAGGCUUCCAAUGCCCUCAAGCUAUGGAAACUGUCAAGGUCACCUACAAUGACUUCAUUUCCAAAUCAAAUGAGCAGGCCUCUCCUAUCACCAGAUGUCACCUCUCAGCAGUAGUGAGAACACUGCCCACUGCCUCCUCACCAUGUGAUACCUUCCCUUGGGUUGGCCUCCCAUCCAGAGGCUCUGCCAGAGGCUGAACUAUGCCCUCCUUCCCCAUUCAAAUACUGCGUUGCUCUCCCCAAGGCCUCAGACUGUGACUGCAUUUGGAGACAGGGUCUUCCAAGAGGCUUUCAUCCCCUUGCCAGAUGUGCACCUACGAGAGAGGGCGGUUCUGCUACGAAGCACGGCUUUAUCCCACAGGCCUGCUUUCUCCGCCUCUCCUGAUCUUUUCCGGCCUCAGAACCAUUCUGGACACUCCAUUCUCUGCACAUGAUCUAUGGAAAUGCUCCAUGGAGUAUAAAAUGUGCCCCAGAAAAGAUGCUGGACCGCGGCCUGCCAAGAGCCCUGGCUGUCCCCACAGACGAGUGAUGAGGGCAGUCUCUCAAUCAGCUCACACACACAUGAAUCAGGCCUCUCCGUGAUGGAGCCCUGUUCCUGGCCCUGGGCUUAAAGGAGUCUCUUCCUUGGAGUGGGAAGACAGACAAGCUGAGAAUUCAACACAUGAGACCCUGAGCAGGCUAAGAGAGCUCCAGGCAUUACCAUAUGGUGGGACGGACAUCUAGCUUGAUAACUGGAAGAAUGAGGCC